GGGCCCGCACAAGCGGUGGAGCAUGUGGUUUAAUUCGAUGAUACGCGAGGAACCUUACCAGGGCUUAAAUGCAGAACGACCGGCGUGGAAACAUGCCUUUCUUCGGACGGACUGCAAGGUGCUGCAUGGUCGUCGUCAGCUCGUGCCGUGAGGUGUCGGGUUAAGUCCCAUAACGAGCGCAACCCUAUCUUUAGUUGCCAGCGGAUAAUGCCGGGGACUCUAGAGAAACUGCCAGCGUAAGCUGUGAGGAAGUGGGAUGACGUCAGAUCAUCACGGCCCUUACGUCCUGGGCUACACACGUGCUACAAUGGCAAGGACAAUGAGCUGCCAACCCCGCGAGGGUGAGCAAAUCUUCAAACCUUGUCUC
rnacentral:rRNA from 1 species